rnacentral:rRNA from 1 species
CAAUAGCGUAUAUUAAAGUUGUUGCAGUUAAAAAGCUCGUAGUUGGAUUUCUGGGAACGCGAGGUGGCCGUUUCCGCAAGGAAGUGAGCCGAACUCCGCAUUCUCAUCCUCGGGUGGGUCCUUCCUGGCAUUAGGUUGUCGGGUAGGGGAAGCCCGUCGUUUACUGUGAACAAAUUAGAGUGUUCAAAGCAGGCUUAUGCCAUUGAAUACAUUAGCAUGGAAUAAUGAGAUAGGACCAUGGUGUUUUAUUUCGUUGGUUUGCACGCCAAGGUAAUGAUUAAUAGGGACAGUUGGGGGUAUUCGUAUUCAAUUGUCAGAGGUGAAAUUCUUGGAUUUAUGGAAGACGAACAACUGCGAAAGCAUUUACCAAGGAUGUUUUCAUUAA